GCACCUGAGAUGCAGAAAAUCACGGGAAGAAAGCAAAAUGGAGAACAUUACAGACGAGCAGAUGAUCUCUCUCUGGUCAAAGAAUCAAAGAAUCAUAGAAUGGGUUGAAUUGGAAAGGACCUAAAUAAUCAUCUAGUUACACUACUCCUGCCACAGAUCAGAAAAUACAGUGCAGCACCACCUGAUCCACAUACUCAGCAUACCAGCAGCAUUGUUUAUACAGCACAGAAGUAACAUUGUUCUGUCUCUUGGAUUUGAAGAAGCAG